UUUCUUUUUUUUCUUCUUUUUUUCCUUGUUACCUUCUGUUGUGUGUGAUUUUG
rnacentral:ribozyme from 11 species